GUCUAUCUCUAUCCUAAUUACUUGACUGAUUUGGGUUCUUUUUUGAAGAUGAUGAAAACUCAGAUACUGCAUAAACUGUAGGUGCUCGAGUACAGCAAACUCACUACAGGAAGAGGUUCUUAGGCAGAGAGAAUCAACUGAAGCUCCAAGGGAAUGAUUCAAAGCGCUUACUUCUAGAUCUCCAGAGCUGGAAGGAAUUCUCAUAUCUGGUGACGCGUGCUCGGGCAAGUGUGGGGUCUGAUCCUACCAAAUGAGAUGGCCAGAAGGGGAAAUGUCUGGGCUCAGCUGGAAUGAAUUAGUGCAUCCCUAAGGAAACCAAGAGAGGAAGCAGUGGAAAGUCUGUGGGUGCAUCCAUGUUAAAGAGAUCAUCAAGCUCGGAUUUCUCUUAUCCUACCAACUGUCCAGCAUGCUUUCCAUUGCAGGUAAUAAUAACAAUUACAGCUAGUCAGAAAUUGUUUAAUUUCUUCUAAAAAAGCUUGUUUUAAUGAAUUUCCCCAUCCACCAACACAUAUACAUUUUUCUUUUGAAUAGUACAACAGAAGGAAGAAAGGAAAAGCAUUCUGACAAACUUGUCAGACUUCCUCCCCUGUAUGGAAAGAAUUUUUUAAUCCAGCCUCUUGUAACAAAAUUCUUCAUAGAAGGAUAUUUCUACAAAAUAUUAAAAUUUCAAAUGAGCAAUUUACACUGAAAUUGUAUGUAGUUUUUCUGGAAACUAUUUUUGCCCAACUUCAGAAGAGGAUAUACCUUUGAAAUUCUAGAAUUUCCCUUAGAAUGGAAAAUACAUUUUUUUUGUUUUAUUUUUGAUUGACUAUGGUAGUGACCAGAUCUAGUUUCAAUCCCACUUGAACAGCAGGUCAACAAUGGAUUGCUUUUUUCCCAUGUAAAUAAGUCUGUAAUCUCCCAUUUGGUUUUAUGUGGAGACCCACCAUCAUGGCAGGCUUGUGACAAUCUUGUUCUUUUUGUUUUUAUAUAUAUAUAUGUGUGUGUGUGUGUGUGUGUACUUUUUUUUGCUUAGGUAAUCUACUAGUGAGUUCCAUGACUUCAUAGAGGAAAAUGUGGUUGCAAGUAGCAAUAAUUCAUCCAUUUAAUCUAAAUUAGCUGCUAGAUUAUGAUUCCUGGCUCACAUGAUCUACAGUAUACAGUAAUAUAUAUAUAUUUUUUAACAUGGCACUUCUACAUUGCCCAGCAUGGUACAAUUAUCAUGUCCCGUUCUUCUCAGUUUUCAGAAUGAACAGCAUGAUUUCUUUUGAUAGCCAUCUUUGGUUUGUCUGCAACAAGCAAGAUCACGUCUCACACCAAAUAGAGAUCUACAGAGAAAAAUCUUGGCUGGUAACAAAUAUUUUGUGAAACAUCUUAGA